rnacentral:lncRNA from 1 species
AUGGCCGACUUGUUGCUCCGCCUCACGCUGACCUGUGCUCGCCUUAUGGCUGAACUGUUGCUCCGAGUCCGCCUGACGAGCCACCUGUUUCUCCGGAUCUGUUUCUCCGCCUAACGGCGACUUGUUUCUCCGGACCUGUUUCUCCGGACCUGUUUCUCCGCCUAACGGCGACCUGUUUCUCCGGACCUGUUUCUCCGCCUAACGCCCGAGCUGUUGCUCCGCCUAACGCCUGACCUGUGCUCGCCUCACGCCCGACAUGUUGCUCCGCCUCACGCCCAGCCUGUUGAUCGGUGGACGGGUAAGCGCGCAUGGCAUCGGAAGGAGCUCGAAAAGUAUAAGGUGAUGACAGUAAGUAACGUUACUGUGAUUUGUGAUCUUUCUGGGGUGUUAACUGUAAAGCAAUGGAUAAUUGCGUGAAAAUCAAACUAAAAGAAUGCAAUCUUGAGGAGUUAAUCCCCACAUUUGAAGCACAGGAGCGAACCUUUCCUCGUUUUUAGGUCAAUUUGAAUACAAUUCAGAGGGGUGGCAUGGGGGCACAGUGGGUAGUGCUGUCGCCUCACAGCAAGAUGGUCGCUGGUUUGAGCCUUGGAUGGGUUUCCCCUCCACAGUCCAAUGACAUGCGGUGUAGCUGAAUUGGAUUGGGACCAAUAUUGCUGAGUAUCUUCAUCCAUUGAAUUCAAGAAUCUAUUGAGUUUCCUCAUGUUCUCAUCCUUGGAGACCACCACUUCUUUCAAGCCUUUGCUCACGUGCUAUGCUAUUUAUUAUUGCAAAGUACAUUACUUGCCAAAGUGGACGUUUGCUAUAAAGCAUUCUACAUCUUUGGUGUGAACUACCCCAAGCAGUGUUCCCUGGUGUGGCAGACUGUGGUUUAUGGACAUCCUGGGGAGGAGACACUAGCAGUAAGGGUUCUGCUAGCAUUAAUUUUUGCUGACAAACAGUAAUCAUUAAUACUGUGACCUCACUGCUUCCUUGGAUUCUGUGUUCUUUAACUUGUACUUUGGAUUGUGGGGGAAAAGGAGCACCCAGAGAAAACCCACAC